rnacentral:lncRNA from 1 species
UCUGGAAUAAUUUUGAAUUCUGGAUGAGAAAUUUAAGAUGGAAACUUAUCCCAACUAAAUAAGGAUAGCCAUGUGUGCAUGGCUAAAGGGGGGGGGGGGGUUAGUUAGUUCAUAUUGAAAUGAUAGUGAAAGUAAAAUUAACGUUCACCAUGCAUGCAUGGCUAACCCUAUUUAGUUGGGUUAUUUUUUAUCAUAAAUUUCUCAUCAGAUUAAAAUAAUUCCUUGUGAUUACACAGUUUUAUUGGCUAAAACAUUAACAUAUGACAUGAAGUAAUUGGGUUAAUUUUCAUUUAAAUGCAAGGAAAAGAAAAUAACUGUAAAAAGUAACAAUAUGCAAUGAUAAUACUAUUAUUCACCGGAGAAUAACAUUUGAGCCUCUUGAUUUAUACACAAAUUGUCUCUCAUCAAAGUGACACUACUGGCAUAGGUAAACAUAAUGACAGGAAUUUGUAGAAGACUAUCAAGAUAAUAUUUUCUAAUACCUCUCUUUUACUCAAUAGCAAACAAACCACAUCUCUUUAUUUUUAAACAAGAUAUGUAAAAUAUGAAACCGAUGUUCAGCAUGUUAUCCUAAUGCUAGCAAGUUGAAGGUUUGGUUUGCUUGCUUGCUAUGUUUGUAUUAAAGUUUGAUCCAGUAGGCGAAGUUAAACCUGUAAACUGGUAAAUUUGAUUAUUUGAUAAAAAUGUCAAAUCAAAUUUAAAUAUGAUGUAUUCAAGUUUAACUUUUUAUAUUGUUUUCAAAUGUCAAUCAAACCUUUAACUUGCUAGCAUUAGGAUAACAGCUGUAAUCUAUUUU